CUUUUAGUGGUUGUGCGCGGCCCUCUCCCUCCUGCAUCUACUGGACCUGAGCCUGGCGGAAUUUCGGGUGCUGAGGUCGUAAAUGCACGUUUGCAGCCAUCAGCAGCUCAUCAGAUGGCCUCACUGCACGUAGAGAAACAGAAACAAGAUGAACAACAGAAUAAACAGCAAACGCAAUUCUUCCAUGGAUCUGACAUCAUAGCCUAUGGGUUUCACAAGGAGAUGAGAGCCUUUAACGGGGCUCCUAAAAUUGUACCAGCUUCAGGCUCUAUGCAGCUUAGAUCCAGUACUGGAGCCAGGGGAAUGGAUUCUCUGAGGAGAGGACGAUCUUCUUUAAAGCGAGGAGAGUGGAAAAAUGGCAGUCUGCACCAGAACUGGCGAGGCUGCAGGGAUAACGGGUUGAGGAAUUUGGCUAAUGCAGAUAAGCCUUGAUGGGGAGUAAGGAGCUGAGAUGAUGGAAAGCAGGGGGCUGGAGGUGGUUGAUGGGGGCCUUCCAUUCAAAUGUAGAUUUUAUCCUAUGUGUCCUGAAGAACUAUUAAUAUUCCUGAGGGCUGUGGGCAAAAUGAACACAGCUGUGUUUGAGGACGAUCAGUUUGUCAGCCAAGGGGCUGGAAGAUGGGUUUGAAAGGAGGGAUGUAGGUUCCUGGUUCCCUUGUUAAUUAUGCGAAGAGGGCUUGGACAGUGAGGCUGAUGGUGGGAACAGAGCAAGAGUUUGUAACUCCCACUGUGAGGAUGAGAGACAGAGGUGCUUAAGAAUGGAGGGGGCACCACGGAUCCUGAGGGAACAGCAGUCAGGCCCAAGAGCCAUGCUGGCUGGACUCAGCAUCAUACAGUCAUCACCCUCAUUAGAACAUCCAAACCCAAGUGGAUGUCUGUGACUGUGUGAUUUUGUACUAAUUAAUUUAUCCUCAUCAGAAGAAGUAAUCCAAGGGUUCAGCCACCCCCUCUCCUCUGAGCAUGGGGACCAGGGGAGGAUGAACCACAGUCCAAACUUUCCAAACUUUGGUGGUGUUGCAGGAAGGAAGAUGUGGGGGUUGUUUGUUGUGGUGAAUCAUGGCUGUGUCUUCAGCAGCUGCCCUGUGCAGGAAGGUUGGAAAUCAGAGAGAUAUUUCUGAGACUGCUUUAUAACAAUCCGUGAGAAUCUCCUUUGUUUUACGCUUCCCAGAAGCAGCCUCUGAACCGUGACUGCUUCCCAAACAGCAGCCUCGGCUGCAAAUCAAGACAAUGUUGCACCUGCAGGACGUAGGUGGCCAGAGUGGCUCUGGACGAUCAUUAGUCUUUCUCGGCCAUACCUUGGGGUCCCCAAGUCAGGAGCAGCCACCUGUCUUUGUGUCAACUUUGGCCACGAGGGCAGAAUAUCCCUCUCCCCUUAAGCAGGUCUCCCCAGGCCCGCUGUUGCUUCCCUACUCGUCCACUAGCCACCUAGCUGGGCCCCCACCUCCCCUGUGAAGCCUCCCGUCUCAGGCCGGGAGACCUCUUCCUCUUCUGACCCCUGGAAAACUAGACUCACUUGGUAUUUAGCCUAUGCCUUUUGUUUCUUUGUUUAGAUUUUUCUUUUUUUUUUUUGUUUCUUUGAGUUUUGAGCCUUUUCUUAGUCUCCUUCAGUAAAUUCAUUCUUUGAAAGGAAGGACUGUGUCUUCUACUAAAGGUGACAUACAAUCUUUCACCUAAACCAAGAUGCUUCCAAGAGUGGUAUAGAUGUUGCUGACGCCUGCUCAUAUUUCCUUGACAUUCACUAUUCCUAUACAUGUGGACAUGUUCUUCCUGCCAGCCUGAGGCCUGCUGCUUUCAUUGGAGCAGGCUAGAGAGGCCAGAGUUGACCCACAACCCAGGGGGAACCCACAGCCAGUGAUGGACAGGAGUUGGUGUGUGCGUGUAUACCCAGUUUCCUCCGCUGGGGCAACUCCAAGAC